rnacentral:rRNA from 2 species
UAAAGCUCUUUUACCCGGGAUGAUAAUGACAGUACCGGGAGAAUAAGCUCCGGCUAACUCCGUGCCAGCAGCCGCGGUAAUACGAAGGGGGCUAGCGUUGUUCGGAAUUACUGGGCGUAAAGCGUGCGCAGGCGGUUUUCCAAGUCAGUGGUGAAAGCCCGGAGCUCAACUCCGGAAUUGCCAUUGAAACUGUGAAACUUGAGGACGAGAGAGGUGAGUGGAAUUCCCAGUGUAGAGGUGAAAUUCGUAGAUAUUGGGAAGAACACCGGUGGCGAAGGCGGCUCACUGGCUCGUUUCUGACGCUCAGGCACGACAGCGUGGGGAUCAAACAGGAUCAGAUACCCUGGUAGUCCACGCCGUAAACGAUGAUUGCUAGCCGUUGGGCAGCUUGCUGUUCAGUGGCGCAGCUAACGCAUUAAGCAAUCCGCCUGGGGAGUACGGCCGCAAGGUUGAAACUCAAAGGAAUUGACGGGGGGCCGCACAAGCGGUGGAGCAUGUGGUUU